rnacentral:rRNA from 1 species
GGGCCUACGGGGGGCAGCAGUGAGGAAUAUUGGUCAAUGGCCGGAAGGCUGAACCAGCCAAGCCGCGUGAGGGAGGAAGGCGCAGAGCGUCGCAGACCUCUUUUGCCGGGGGACAAAAGGCCGGACGGGUCCGGUUCUGAGGGUACCCGGAGAAAAAGCAUCGGCUAACUCCGUGCCAGCAGCCGCGGUAAUACGUAGGUGGCAAGCGUUAUCCGGAUUUAUUGGGCGUAAAGGGAACGCAGGCGGUCUUUUAAGUCUGAUGUGAAAGCCUUCGGCUCAACCGGAGAAUUGCAUCAGAAACUGUU